rnacentral:tRNA from 1 species
AUUUUUAUAGUGUAAUUUAACAUAUUACAUUUUCGUUGUAAAGCUGAAAUAAUAUAUUUCUAAAAAUA